GAAACGACUGCUAAGACUGGAUAGGAGAUAAGAAGGCAUCUUUUUAUUUUUAAAAGACCUAGCAAUAGGUAUGCUUAGGGAAGAGCUUGCGUCACAUUAGUUAGUUGGUGGGGUAAUGGCCUACCAAGACGAUGAUGUGUAGCCGGGCUGAGAGGUCGAACGGCCACAUUGGGACUGAGACACGGCCCAAACUCCUACGGGAGGCAGCAGUAAGGAAUUUUCGGCAAUGGAGGAAACUCUGACCGAGCAAUGCCGCGUGAACGAUGAAGUAUUUUGGUACGUAAAGUUCUUUUAUUAGGGAAGAAAAGGUGGUGGAAAAACCAUUAUGACGGUACCUAAUGAAUAAGCCCCGGCUAACUAUGUGCCAGCAGCCGCGGUAAUACAUAGGGGGCAAGCGUUAUCCGGAAUUAUUGGGCGUAAAGGGUGCGUAGGCGGUUAAAUAAGUUUAUGGUCUAAGUGCAACGCUCAACGUUGUGAUGCUAUAAAAACUGUUUAGCUAGAGUUGGAUAGAGGCAAGUGGAAUUCCGUGUGUAGUGGUAAAAUGCGUAAAUAUACGGAGGAACACCAGAAGCGAAGGCGGCUUGCUGGGUCUUAACUGACGCUGAGGCACGAAAGCGUGGGGAGCAAACAGGAUUAGAUACCCUGGUAGUCCACGCCCUAAACGAUGAGUACUAAACGUUGGAUAAAACCAGUGUUGAAGUUAACACAUUAAGUACUCCGCCUGAGUAGUACGUACGCAAGUAUGAAACUUAAAGGAAUUGACGGGACUCCGCACAAGCGGUGGAUCAUGUUGUUUAAUUCGAAGGUACCCGAAAAACCUCACCAGGUCUUGACAUGCUUUUGCAAAGCUGUAGAAAUACAGUGGAGGUUAUCAGAAGCACAGGUGGUGCAUGGUUGUCGUCAGCUCGUGUCGUGAGAUGUUGGGUUAAGUCCCGCAACGAGCGCAACCCUUGUUGUUAAUUGCCAUCAUUAAGUUGGGGACUUUAGCAAGACUGCCAAUGAUAAAUUGGAGGAAGGUGGGGACGACGUCAAAUCAUCAUGCCCCUUAUGACCUGGGCUACAAACGUGAUACAAUGGCUGUUACAAAGGGUAGCUAAAGCGUAAGCUUCUGGCGAAUCUCAAAAAAGCAGUCUCAGUUCGGAUUGAAGUCUGCAACUCGACUUCAUGAAGUUGGAAUCGCUAGUAAUCGCGAAUCAGCAUGUCGCGGUGAAUACGUUCUCGGGGUUUGUACACACCGCCCGUCA
rnacentral:rRNA from 1 species